CCUACGGGCGGCAGCAGUGGGGAAUAUUGCACAAUGGGCGCAAGCCUGAUGCAGCCAUGCCGCGUGUGUGAAGAAGGCCUUCGGGUUGUAAAGCACUUUCAGCGUGGAGGAAGGCGUUAAGGUUAAUAACCUUGUCGAUUGACGUUACCCGCAGAAGAAGCACCGGCUAACUCCGUGCCAGCAGCCGCGGUAAUACGGAGGGUGCAAGCGUUAAUCGGAAUUACUGGGCGUAAAGCGCACGCAGGCGGUCUGUCAAGUCGGAUGUGAAAUCCCCGGGCUCAACCUGGGAACUGCAUUCGAAACUGGCAGGCUAGAGUCGUGUAGAGGGGGGUAGAAUUCCAGGUGUAGCGGUGAAAUGCGUAGAGAUCUGGAGGAAUACCGGUGGCGAAGGCGGCCCCCUGGACAAAGGCUGACGCUCAGGUGCGAAAGCGUGGGGAGCAGACAGGAUUAGUACCCGUGUAGUC
rnacentral:rRNA from 1 species